rnacentral:rRNA from 1 species
UACGUAGGGGGCAAGCGUUGUCCGGAUUUAUUGGGCGUAAAGAGCUCGUAGGCGGUUUUGUCGCGUCUGCUGUGAAAUCCCGAGGCUCAACCUCGGGUCUGCAGUGGGUACGGGGCAGACUAGAGUGUGGUAGGGGAGAUUGGAAUUCCUGGGUGUAGCGGUGGAAUGCGCAGAUAUCAGGAGGAACACCGAUGGCGAAGGCAGA